rnacentral:rRNA from 1 species
GACGAACGCUGGCGGCGUGCUUAACACAUGCAAGUCGAACGAAGAGCGAUGGAAGCUUGCUUCUAUCACUCUUAGUGGCGAACGGGUGAGUAACGCGUAAUCAACCUGCCCUUCAGAGGGGGACAACAGUUGGAAACGACUGCUAAUACCGCAUACGAUCUAAUCUCGGCAUCGAGGAUAGAUGAAAGGUGGCCUCUACAUGUAAGCUAUCACUGAAGGAGGGGAUUGCGUCUGAUUAGCUAGUUGGAGGGGUAACGGCCCACCAAGGCGAUGAUCAGUAGCCGGUCUGAGAGGAUGACCGGCCACAUUGGGACUGAGACACGGCCCAGACUCCUACGGGAGGCAGCAGUGGGGAAUCUUCCGCAAUAGACGAAAGUCUGACGGAGCAACGCCGCGUGAGUGAUGACGGCCGUCGGGUUGUAAAGCUCUGUUAAUCGGGACGAAAGGCCUUCUUGCGAAUAGGGAGAAGGAUUGACGGUACCGGAAUAGAAAGCCACGGCUAACUACGUG